rnacentral:rRNA from 1 species
GACGAACGCUGGCGGCGUGCUUAACACAUGCAAGUCGAACGAUGAACCGGGUGCUUGCACUUGGGGAUUAGUGGCGAACGGGUGAGUAACACGUGAGUAACCUGCCCUGGACUCUGGGAUAACCCCGAGAAAUCGGAGCUAAUACCGGAUAGGACCUUUCCUCGCAUGAGGUUUGGUGGAAAGUUUUUCGGUCUGGGAUGGACUCGCGGCCUAUCAGCUUGUUGGUGAGGUAAUGGCUCACCAAGGCGUCGACGGGUAGCCGGCCUGAGAGGGUGACCGGCCACACUGGGACCGAGACACGGCCCAGACUCCUACGGGAGGCAGCAGUGGGGAAUAUUGCACAAUGGGCGCAAGCCUGAUGCAGCAACGCCGCGUGCGGGAUGACGGCCUUCGGGUUGUAAACCGCUUUUAGUAGGGAAGAAGGGCUUCGGCUUGACGGUACCUGCAGAAAAAGGACCGGCUAACUACGUGCCAGCCGCCGCAGUAAGAC